rnacentral:rRNA from 1 species
CCUACGGGCGGCUGCAGUAGGGAAUCUUCGGCAAUGGACGAAAGUCUGACCGAGCAACGCCGCGUGAGUGAAGAAGGUUUUCGGAUCGUAAAACUCUGUUGGUAGAGAAGAACGUUGGUGAGAGUGGAAAGCUCAUCAAGUGACGGUAACUACCCAGAAAGGGACGGCUAACUACGUGCCAGCAGCCGCGGUAAUACGUAGGUCCCGAGCGUUGUCCGGAUUUAUUGGGCGUAAAGCGAGCGCAGGUGGUUUGAUUAUGUGGGGGCGGAGAGGGGGGGGCAGAACGAUUGUGUGCAUGGGAAGCGGGGAGAGUGGAGUGGGGGAGAGGAGAGUGGAAUUCCAGGUGUGGCGGGGAAGUGCGUAGAUAUAUGGGGGAAGACCGGUGGCGAAAGCGGCUCUCUGGCCUGUAACUGACACUGAGGCUCGAAAGCGUGGGGAGCAAACAGGAUUAGAUACCCUAGUAGUC